CACGUAGGGGGCAAGCGUUGUCCGGAUUUAUUGGGCGUAAAGAGCUCGUAGGCGGCUUGUCGCGUCGACUGUGAAAUCCCGCGGCUCAACUGCGGGUCUGCAGUCGAUACGGGCAGGCUAGAGUUCGGUAGGGGAGACUGGAAUUCCUGGUGUAGCGGUGAAAUGCGCAGAUAUCAGGAGGAACACCGGUGGCGAAGGCGGGUCUCUGGGCCGAUACUGACGCUGAGGAGCGAAAGCGUGGGGAGCGAACAGG
rnacentral:rRNA from 1 species